GCGCGUAGGUGGUUUGGUCAGUCAGAUGUGAAAGCCCUGGGCUUAACCUGGGAAUUGCAUUUGAUACUGCCAGACUAGAGUAUGGUAGAGGGAAGUGGAAUUCCGGGUGUAGCGGUGAAAUGCGUAGAUAUCCGGAGGAACAUCAGUGGCGAAGGCGGCUUCCUGGACCAAUACUGACACUGAGGUGCGAAAGCGUGGGUAGCAAACA
rnacentral:rRNA from 1 species